GCGAUUCUCAGCGUCCUCUCCGGUGGAGGACAGAAGGCAUCCCAGGGUCGCGGGAGAGCCAGCGCAAAGUGGAAGGCACCUUGUACGCUGUGAAGCGGAGAUGCAGAUGUUACCCUAACCAGAAGCCCACCCCGCCACAAAUACUGGAGCGCCCAGCAUGCGUGCGCCACCCGCUUCCCUGCAGAGGGCGCCGCGGGCCCGCCUCGCCGAGCGCGGGGUGAGAUCCCAGUAGCCCAGAGCAGCCCGCGGGGCAGGCCCGGGCUGCCGCGGACUCCUCUUGUUAGAUGUGGCCAGGUGACAAAGUUCUGUACAGUGGAAUGUAAACAGAAGUAUCAUGUGAGAGUUUCCAAGAACUUUUUCAGGAGGGAGGAAACACAUGUCCUUUGCCCUCCCUUUUUGUUUGCUGCCUUCUCCAUCCUAUAGCCUGGAAUACAGACAUGAUGGCUACCAUCUUGGACUAUGAACAUGAGGAUCACACCCAAGGGAAGGAGAGGCAGCAAGCUGGAAGGUACUAUGGAGCAGAACUGCCACAGCCUGAGUACCUACCUCUGGAACUUUCUGUGAGAAAUGAAAUGGGCCCAACAGUUCCAUAAACAGUUGUUUUGGGAUAAACAUAGAAAUGGCCCCUAGCUUGAAAUUUGCAUUUGUUUUAUCUGAGUUCCCUCCUCAGGAAAGGACCUUCAGGCCUCUCAAAAAAGUAUCAAGAGAACUGACACCAGAUGCCUCCUUGCCCCUCCCUAGUUCCUGUUUUCUUAAACAUUGUUACAUAUCUUCCCUGCUAUGUAAGCCCCUAGAUUUAGUCAGUCAGGGAGAUGGAUUUGAGACUGAGCUCUCAUAACUUGGCUGCAGCACCCGAUUAAAGCCUUCUUCCUUGGCAAUACU
rnacentral:lncRNA from 10 species